AGUCUGGUGCCAGCAGCCGCGGUAAUUCCAGCUCCAAUAGCGUAUACUUAAGUUGCUGCAGUUAAAAAGCUCGUAGUUGAAUUUUGGGACUUGGGAGGUCUGGUCUGCCUAAUGGUAAGUACUGAUUUCCCGGUUCUAAUUUUUCGUCUCUUUCGAGGUUCUUCGGAGCUUCGGAAUGGGGCGGGAAAUAUUUCCUUCUCAUUGCGGGCUCCUGCACUUAAUUGGGUGGGAGUUUUCCGUAUGGGAUCGUUUACCUUGAGAAAAUUAGAGUGUUCAAAGCAGGCAAAUUUUUUUCUCGGAGGGGGCGGGAGUAGGGGGCAACCUCUGCUUCAGUUCUUUUCGAGCUACAAGCCAUUGAAUACUUCAGCAUGGAAUAAUGAAACAGGACUCGAUUCCUAUUUUGUUGGUUUUAGGAAAACGGGUAAUGAUUAAAAGGAAUAGUUGGGGAUAUUAGUAUUUAGUAGCUAGAGGUGAAAUUCUUGGAUUUACGAAAGACUAACUUCUGCAAAAGCAUUUAUCAAGGAUGUUUUCAUUGAUCAAGAACGAAAGUUAGGGGAUCGAAGAUGAUCAGAUACCGUCGUAGUCUUAACCAUAAACUAUGCCGACCAGGGAUUUGGGGACGUUACAUUAAAGACUUCCUGAGCACCUUGAGAGAAAUCAUUGAGUCUUUGGGUUCUGGGGGGAGUAUGGUCGCAAGACUGAAACUUAAAGGAAUUGACGGGAGGGCACACCAGAAGUGGAGCUUGCGGCUUAAUUUGACCCAACACGGGGAAACUUACCAGGUCAAGACAUAAUUAGGAUUGACAGAUUGAAAGCUCUUUCUUGAUUUUAUGGGUGGUGGUGCAUGGCCGUUCUUAGUUGGUGGAGUGAUUUGUCUGGUUAAUUCCGAUAACGAACGAGACCUCAACUUACUAACUAGUCACACAAACACUUCUCUUAUGUGGUGAAUUUGGGAUUGUGAGUCUGUGUUGUGGUCGCCCCCUACGGGGGGUCGUGGGACUUCGGUUUCCGAUUACGGCCAGGCCGGUCCUGGAGAAUCCAUUGAUGAGUUUGUGGAUGUACUUCUUAGAGGGACUAUUCAUGUUCAGUGAAUGGAAGUUUGAGGCAAUAACAGGUCUGUGAUGCCCUUAGAUGUCUUGGGCCGCACGCGUGCUACACUGAUGAAUUCAACGAGUUUAACACCUUGGCCGACAGGUUUGGGUAAUCUUUUGAAAAUUCAUCGUGCUGGGGAUAGAUCUUUGUAAUUAUAGGUCUUCAACGAGGAAUUUCUAGUAAGCGCGGGUCAUCAGCUCGCGUUGACUACGUCCCUGCCCUUUGUACACACCGCCCGUCGCUCCUACCGAUUGAAUGAUCCGGUGAGAACUUCGGAUGACGGCAAUAUGCCUUUGGGGGCAACCCCGAAGGUUUUGUUGUUAAAAGUCGUUCAAACCUUAUCAUUUAGAGGAAGGAGAAGUC
rnacentral:rRNA from 1 species